rnacentral:tRNA from 1 species
GCAGUCGUGGCCGAGUGGUUAAGAAGAUGGACUAGAAAUUCAUUGGGGUCUCCCCGCACAGGUUCGAACCCUGUCGACUGCG